GAAGCUGAUGCAGAGAAAAACUUG
rnacentral:piRNA from 1 species